rnacentral:lncRNA from 8 species
GCUGUGACUGAGCUGAGAGUGCUGCUGUAGCUGGGUUCAGUUCUAAGGAUGCCCGGGGUGUAAGUGAGGUUCUAUAGCGGUUCCACAGCACCACCAGGCAGGAACCAACACUGGGAUGCAGAACCUACGACAUGCAGCCACGGAGGCUUUCCAUCGCCUGGGUCUGAAGCAAAGACAGCUGGGAUAUGAGGAGGUAAGAUACCCUAUGUUAUUGUCUGUGACUGAAACACUUACGAAAUACUAUUUUUAAGGGUCAGAUUCGACUAUAUAUCACAAGAGUUUGAGACAGUUAGACAUACUUUGUUGUUCCUUCUCUCUGUUUCUCUCUGGCGUCCUCCGUCCCUCCUGGGGAGAGAGAAGAUUAACAGAAUAGUCAACACUGCCCCCUGCUGAGAAGAGUGGGAGGAGGAGCGGGAGCAAGAGAGAGAGAGAGGGAGAGAGGGAGGAGAGAGAGAUGCUGUAGACACACACACACUCCACCACCACCACUCAGCGUUUCUCCCGCUGUCACGUUGAAGUUGGAGAGGAUUUCAUUUCAAGGGCCAUUAAUUCCUGUCUCCUCCCCAUAGCGGAAAGAGCACCGUAAGAUUCUACAUUAUACGUCUCUGAAAAGAAAGUGAGCCAAAAAUAGCCUUGCCUCCCCUCUGAGCUCUACAUUCUACUCUGUCCUGUCCUCUACUACUAAAACUGUAAUUAUACUCUUUAUGGAGCUAAUUCCCAUUUGCAGCUGCUCUACGUGGACCACUCAGCACUCCCAAAAAGCAUCAUUAUGUGGUGGUACUAACUGCCCUGUGUCCUCCAAAACCUGCACAGAAAUGUUAUGUACUGUAUGCAGUUAAGAAAAUGUUUGAGGGAAAAAACCUGUUUUAGGAAAAUGGGGAAUGUGAACCACAGAGAAUAAAAGCUGUUAGUGGUUCAGAUUGGCAGGUUAUGGCGACUCUGUGGGAGACUGUUUCCACCCGCUGGUCUCUCCUCUCACACGCAAUCCUCUUCAGUCCUCACACCUCGCCCUCAUACAGGCUGGAAUGGAUCUGGCGCUAGCUGGAGUUAGGCCUCAAACUGUGUUUUCGCCACUUCAAGACUUUCUGGAGGGGUGGAUGAGCAAUGAGCGACGGCGGUUGAGAGAUAAUUGAGGAAUUCUAUCAAUCACUCGCUG